GACGAACGCUGGCGGCGUGCUUAACACAUGCAAGUCGAGCGGUAAGGCCCUUCGGGUACACGAGCGCGAACGGUGAGUAACACGUGGGUGACCUGCCUCUAGCUCUGGGGUAAGCCUGGGAAACUGGGUCUAAUACCGGAUAUGACUCCACGGCGCAUGUUGUGGGGUGGAAAGCCUUGUGUGGCUAGAGAUGGGCCCGCGGCCUAUCAGCUUGUUGGUGGGGUGAUGGCCUACCAAGGCGACGACGGGUAGCCGGCCUGAGAGGGCGACCGGCCACACUGGGACUGAGACACGGCCCAGACUCCUACGGGAGGCAGCAGUGGGGAAUCUUGCGCAAUGGGCGAAAGCCUGACGCAGCGACGCCGCGUGAGGGAUGACGGCC
rnacentral:rRNA from 1 species